rnacentral:rRNA from 1 species
ACGGUUACCUUGUUACGACUUCACCCCAGUUAUCCGUCCCGCCUUCGGCAGCUCCCUCCUUUUCAGGUUGGGUCACUGACUUCGGGCGUUACUGACUCCCAUGGUGUGACGGGCGGUGUGUACAAGACCCGGGAACGUAUUCACCGCGGCAUUCUGAUCCGCGAUUACUAGCGAUUCCGGCUUCGUGCAGGCGGGUUGCAGCCUGCAGUCCGAACUGAGACGUUAUUUUUGAGGUUUGCUCCAGGUCGCCCUUUCGCCUCUCUUUGUUUACGCCAUUGUAGCACGUGUGUAGCCCAGAUCAUAAGGGGCAUGAUGAUUUGACGUCAUCCCCACCUUCCUCCAGGUUAUCCCUGGCAGUCUCCCAAGAGUGCCCAGCUUUACCUGCUGGCUACUUAAGAUAAGGGUUGCGCUCGUUGCGGGACUUAACCCAACAUCUCACGACACGAGCUGACGACAACCAUGCACCACCUGUCUGGGGCGUCCCGAAAGAACGGC